GGUCAGGUCCUAUGCUUUCAAGCCAAGCCCAACCCCGCCAGGUCCGGAAGGAAGCAACGGUCAGCUUGGUCUUGAAGAGCAUAGUAAACUUGACCCCU
rnacentral:SRP_RNA from 1 species